rnacentral:rRNA from 1 species
AACGAACGCUGGCGGCAUGCCUAACACAUGCAAGUCGAACGAGACCUUCGGGUCUAGUGGCGCACGGGUGCGUAACGCGUGGGAAUCUGCCCUUCGGUUGGGAAUAACUGAGAGAAAUUUCAGCUAAUACCUUAUAAUGUCUUCGGACCAAAGAUUUAUCGCCGAGGGAUGAGCCCGCGUAGGAUUAGGUAGUUGGUGGGGUAAUGGCCUACCAAGCCGACGAUCCUUAGCUGGUCUGAGAGGAUGAUCAGCCACACUGGGACUGAGACACGGCCCAGACUCCUACGGGAGGCAGCAGUGGUGAAUAUUGGACAAUGGGCGAAAGCCUGAGCCAGCAAUGCCGCGUGAGUGAUGAAGGCCUAGGGUUGUAAAGCUCUUUUACCCGGGAUGAUAAUGACAGUACCGAGAGAAUAAGCACCGGCUAACUCCGUG